UAAAAUCUAAAGAGAAGACAGAGCAGAAGCAGCGUUACCCAAGGAGACGCGCUGCGCUGCAGAAGGCAUCCGAUUCAGCGGGAGCACAAGCAAGCCUGGACUCACCAAGUGGCAGUGAUCUUCUGUGUAUUCCACAUCUGAACGCCACGGAAAGAGGGAGAGACACAGGGCAUUAGAAAAAACAACCACGGGCUAAGUGGCCUUCCCAUAAGAUGCCCCACUUGUGUUAUAAACAGAAUAGGUUCCUUGAGCCCUCCCACCGGAGCUUUUCAUAGCGACAUUCCGCACCCCGCCCCCCGCCUCGCCCCCCUGCGUCUUAAGACCUUAGGAACAGCGUGAAGAUAGGAUGGGCCAGGGACUGGAGCUGUCCCUGGAAGUGCUGCAGCAGAGGCUGAACCAUCACUUGGGGGUGGGGUGGGAGAGGUUCAAUUCUCAUUCAUUGAACAAAUAGAGCUGGAGCUCCUACUGUGUGCCAGGGGCUACUAGGCAGACAACAAUGAGGAAGACCUAGCUCUCACCUAAAGGAAUUCACGUCCUAGCCACUGAGAGACUCCUCCUAAUCACACAGUUAGCACAGCCCUAAUCAGUGAGGUUCUCUGAGGAGGGAUGUUGGAGCUGGACCUAAAUGAACGGAUAGGGAGCAGGACCAAAUGGGGAGGAGGGUGGGUGCAAAUGCCCUGAGGUGGAAAGGAAGGUGACCUAGGAUCGGAGAGAAGGGCAGCAAGGCGGAGGUCAAGAGUGAGUGAUGGAGCAGCACAAAGUGGACAGUCUGAGAAGAAAUGUGGCUGAAAAGGAAGUGGCAAAUGCAGGGAGAGGAGGAAGCAAGGCAGUUGGGUUUUGUUUUGAAGACGAGAGAGACUAGAACACCUUAAAAUGCUGGUGGAAAACUAUAGUAGUGGGGAUGCGAAGCCCAGGUGGGAAACGGGAUGUGGCUGGGAGGAGGGCAGCCCUGGCAUGUCUGGGGAGCCAGGAGGAGGGACUGCAGAGGCAGGGAGGGAGGCAGGGUGGGCUGGCGCUGGCUAUUGAAGGCAUUCUGAUCUCUUUUCUCUGUGAGGUACUGAGUGAAGUCAUCUGCUGACAGGGAAGCCUGUGGGGAUCAGAGGAGAGAACGUGGGAUCACGGAGAACAGUCAGCUGUCUGGAGAAGCACAAAGGGGAACAGGCAUAAAGACACCAACCCCCACCCUAGACCAGAAGGACAGCCGCCCACUGCAAGAUGGCUUCUCUCAAUAUAGCUUGACUUGGGAGUAGAUGGGGGCUUGGGAGGUGGGGAUGUCCUGCAACCUACCAAGGGGUGUCCUCCAACCUUCCCAGUCAUCCUAUCCAUGUUGUUGGGAGCCCUGCAUUCCUCGUUUGCACUCCCCAGGUGUUGGAUCCUAUCAGGCUGCUCCUACCACUGAAUCCAGGAAUAGGGAAGCCCCACCUCCAGCUGUGCGUGUGUGAACAGGCCCUGUUGGUGAGGCCCAGAACCUUUCUGAGGGCCGAGGAGGACUGACUGACUUGGCCUGGAUAUAAUUUCUCUAGAGAGAAGCCUGGAAUAGACCUCAGGAUUUUCUCAAGGCACUGUUACAGUGUUUUCCUGCCCCUAGGCUAUCAGGGACAUAGAAGAGUUUAGAGACUGGCCGAUUAACUUUGCCCACAAAGCUCCCUCUGUCCUUGGUCCAUCAGUAGGAGCUUUGGACUAAGUGAAUUAUCUUGUUUGUUCAGAGCUUGCAGGGCUGUGUGCUAAUCUGCAGGCUUCCCUCAGUUUGCCAGGAGGAUCCCCUCUGUCAGCCCCCAUACUGCUGAGGAGUUGGGAAAGAGCUGCAAUGGCUAAGAUUCUGCCCCAUCUUUAGGGGUGGUUAAUGGUACCAGCUUCCUCAGUGCCGGGCAGUCACGGCAACCACUGUUCACAGUUUCCUGUCCCCCUUUGCAGAGCGUGCAUUCUUAGGACCAGAAACAGAUCAAAAUGGCUUUCCUCCAAUCAGAGAAUUACUUAGCAACAACUCAGUCUCAUCUUUGUGACAGUACAUCUGAGAGGCAAAAAGCAAUACUUUAUAGACUGAGAACAAAAGGUUAACAUUACGUUGGUUACCUGAAGUGAAAUUUGCUAUCUUCUUAAAGACUUUUAUAGUGGAUCCAUUUGAUAUCUGAAAGCAAAGAUAAAAAAUAGAUGAGUUUUCAAAAUUUAAUGUGUUUCUCAACUUCACUCAGGAAUUAGAUGGCUGGAUGGAUCUUACAUUCUCUCACUUAUUCAAUCAAAUAUUUAUUUAAGAAUUCCUACGUUCUGAGCAUUGCAGGCUGGAGCUAUAGUGAUGAGCAAGACACUGUUUCUGCCCUCAAGGAGCUUGUGGUUUUGUGAAGGAGGCAGGCAAGGGGAGGAGUCAGCUGUUUUGGGGGGCACCCCAGCCUCUUGGGAGUAGGUACUGUUUAGACCACUUUCUUUUUUGAAGGGCGGGGGGGGAGGGGGGAGGGGGGAGUCCUACCAUAUAAAGAAAUGCUGAAACAAGUUUUCAAAAACUGGCCUGUAAAGCUGGUGGCUAGCCUAUGACAGAGCAAUGUCACAUUUAGGUAUACACAUGUGCGUAUCCUGGAGGUAAGCUUUGUAAGUGCCCCGUACUGGCAUUUACAACCCCAAUAUCCAUCAACAGCAGAAGGAAUAAAGAGUUUGAGGUAUACUCAUAAAACAGGUUAUGAUAAGACAACCACAGUGAGCAAAUUACUGCUCCGUGCCACACGGACGAACCUCACAGUGACACUGGCGAACCAAAAUCCAGAUAAAACGGAACGCACGCCGUGUGGUUCCAUUCACAUUUAGCUUAAAAAAAAAUAGAAAAACAAAAACCCAGUCAAAACCAUGAUUUAAAUGUUUGGAGAGGAGAAAGUGCUGAUUAGGAGAGUCCAUAGGGGCCGUCUGUGGUGCCCAUAAGGCUCUAUUUCUUGAUCUGAGUGGGAGCUGUAAGAUAGGCUCACUUUGUGAUAAUCCGUCCAGCAGGACACUUAUAACGUAUUCUCUUUUUUUGAAGGUCUUUAUCUUUUUAAAAGAAGCUUGUAAGAAUCGUAAAAUUGCAUACACUUUUAAAUAAAAACUUGAAACAUGA